AAAGAAUUAGUUAAAAAAUAACAUAAAUAUGUCAAAUUUAAAUUAUUAAAUAUAAUCUAAUAUUCUUUU
rnacentral:tRNA from 2 species